UGUUUACUCUACAGACCAACAGUUGUAAUUUAAACUUGGACUAGAGCGGAGCGUUAACGGUUAAAAGAAAACGUUUGUGUAAACAAAAACAAUGUAAAACAAAAAUGAAAAAUACAACAACUUAAAGAUAGUAUUUUAAAUUUUGGAAAGUUUAUUACAAAAAAUAAUAAUAAAAUAAUUUGCAAAUAUAACAAAAUAAUAAGUGAAAAAUAAAAUUUACUUAAACAAAUAAAAAUUUAAUGUUUUUUGUUUAAUAAGUGUUUUGAUAUUCAAAAAUCAACAAACCUUGAACGUUUACAAAAAUUAAUAAUAAUAAGAGAUUACUAAAGGAAAAUUUGAAAACACGAGCACGUUUUCAAAACAGUUAAUUCCAAAAAGACAGUCUAUAAAAAUUUUGGCCGAAUUCCUAAAAAUUAAUGCCAAGAUACGAACGAACUAGUCUCAGAUCAAAUUGUUGGUGGUUUUGAACAAACUGCAAGCAGCUAACGAACGAGUAGUAGUGAUCGGCAUUUGAGAGACACAUAUUAUGGAUGGACAACUUUUGCCAAGUAUUUCGUCACAAAUAUUAGAGUGACUUGUUUAUAAUUAAAUAUAAACAAACUCAAACUUUAAAUUUAUAAUGACAUAAAGGAAAUAGCAAAAAAAAAAAAAACUGUUAAAAACUGUUAUGUUUUUUUUUGGUAGUAAAAUUUUGAGAGUUUGCUAAAAUUUUGUUUAAAAAAAAUAAACAUUAUUAAAUGAGUGAAAGCCUUUGUGUGUAUAUUUUACAUAAAAAUAAAACAACAAUAACUACUUUCAGCUUAAACACUCAUUAAAUCAAAUGUUUGCUGGCGAAAAAAAACAAUAAAAAAUUAAAUAAAAGACAACAACUAUCUAGCCAUCUAGUUAACAUGUUACGCCAACGCAUGUUGGAUUUACCUUUAAUAUAAUAAAACAAAAAUUUUGGUUUUAAAGCACCGAUCAAGAAGAGAGAAAGAGCGCCAACAACAUAAACGUCUUAGACAGUUUGAGUAUUUAAACGUGAAAGUAACGUUGUAAACAAGAAAAAAUAGUGUUGCGAGUGAGCUGCGCAUGCUCAUUGAACAUUUUUAGUGAAUCACUGAAAUCAGUUGUUAUUGAAAAUUAUAACGGUAAAGACGUAAAAAAUUUAACAAAAUAACAUAGUUGCGUUAAAAAUGCUCAUAAAAGUAGCGCGUUUAAAGGCAGCAACAACAAUAGCAGCAACAGAAAACUAACUUAAGUGAUUGAAUCAACCAAAUGACAGCUGUUGAAAAGUGUUUAAUUUUUAUGUUUAAAUAUCCAAUUAAAAUAAACAAAAGCUAUUAUAACGCUAAAGGCUUUAAAUUAAUAAAAUAAUUAUUAUUAUUUGUUUAAACAAGUGCUAA